rnacentral:rRNA from 1 species
UGGGGAAUCUUGCGCAAUGGGCGAAAGCCUGACGCAGCGACGCCGCGUGAGUGAUGAAGGCCUUCGGGUUGUAAAGCUCUGUGGGGAGAGACGAAUAAGCUUUGGCUAAUAUCCAGGGUGAUGACGGUAUCUCCUUAGCAAGCACCGGCUAACUCUGUGCCAGCAGCCGCGGUAAGACAGAGGGUGCAAACGUUGUUCGGAAUUACUGGGCGUAAAGCGCGUGUAGGCGGCUCUGAUAAGUUAGGUGUGAAAGCCCUGGGCUCAACCCAGGAAGUGCACUUCAAACUAUCGAGCUGGAAUGCUGGAGAGGAAAGCGAGAUUCUCGGUGUAGAGGUGAAAUUCGUAGAUAUCGAGAGGAACACCCGUGGCGAAGGCGGCUUUCUGGACAGCGAUUGACGCUGAGACGCGAAAGCGUGGGGAGCAAACA